AUAGACCCUCACAUAUACUAUGAUCCAAUUCCAGUCAUACAGCCACAAUGUCCUCCAGAAGAAUCGAAGAUGAUCCAGGACUCAUAGCAGCAUGUCACUGUGGAGCUGAGUACGAGACAGAAUAUUCUGUGUCGAUCGAAACUCACACCCCGCAUCGAUCGAUAGUGCCAAUCAGAAAUCGAUCGACAAUCACCUCGAAGAAUCGAUCGACAAUACUCCAGACGACGUAAUAGAAGAUUUUCAGAAGGUCCUAUUGACAGUUGGGAGAAUGACUACUACAAUCCCACUUUUGCAGUAGACACUGCAACACCUUCAGACAGAGCUAAUCUGUAGGAGAAUCGAUUUUCCAGAAGAAUCGAAGAUGAUCCAUGACUCAUAGCAGCAUGUCACUGUGGAGCUGAGUACGAGACAGAGUAUUCUGCGUAGUCAUUUUUUAACGAAUAGCAACAAAACACAAAAAUGUAACGUCCGUAGCUAAAACGUAGCGCUUUUGUAGCUAUCUAGCUAUGGAUGGGUUUCGUAGCCAUUUUGUAACAAAUAGCAACAAAUUAACUAGGAAUGGGUCAUCGCCAAAAAAUAUCUAUCUUUGAACAUUUCCAUUGUUGGUUGUAUACAAAACCUUAACACCAUACCCUAAACCCCAAACUAAACCCUAAACUUAAACAUACAUACAAUCUAAAUCUUAAACUUUAACUCCAAAUAUAUAUUUUAAAAUCUUUUUACCUAAUUCACAUCUCAAAUAUAUCUCCUAAACUACAUAAAUCAAACACUAUUAUAUCCUAGCCAUAUAUUUCAAACACCAAAAAUCCACAUCAUAUCACAUUUCAUAUACACUUUCCUAAAUUUCAAAUCUCUUUUUGCAAACCUUGACUCCAAAACUUAAACUUGAAAUUAUAUACUUCAAACACUAAACCCACCUCAAACCUUAUUUCCAUAUA
rnacentral:lncRNA from 1 species